CCCAAUACCUCAAUCAACGAUUAUAUUAUUAUAGUAUACAUUUUAUGAAUCAGUAGAAACGAUUAGGUAUAUUUAAAUUUGGUAAAUUAUAACUCCACUCGACAGAGCACGACCACACAACUCAAAACAUAUUAAAAUACAAUGUUAAAAAUUUUAACAAUAUUUAAAAACUUUAAUAUAAUAUAUUAUAGUAUACAUAUUAUGAAUCGGUAGAAUCGAUAUUUAAAUUUGGUAAAUUAAACUCCGCACGACCACGCAACUUAAAAUACAAGUACGCAAAUACGUGAAGCGUGGCUCGAAAUCGUGGAAUUUACGAGACUCGCUCGAACUGUAGAUCCUUCCUUGUCCCUGUACUUACUUAGACUUAACUGGACUUCAUGCCCCGCGCCAUAGAGAAAUAACAACAAGUUAUUGUUGUUAUUUCUCUAUGCCCCGCGCACUCUAAUAAAAAACAUGUAAUCGUAUUUAUUUUCCUUCCAUUUUGUCAGAGGCGCUGAUGUCGGCAUUGUGAUUGGUGGAACAUGACUUUUGACAAAUCCUGCGCUAUCUGUGAAUCUGUGUUCAGUGUUCGUGUUCGUUCGUUCGUUGUCGUUCAGUUAUUUUAUAUGGUCGGUUAUGUGAUGUGUUUGGGUAACCAUAAAAAGCUGAUCCUGAUCUGAUAUUCAGUCGUGUUUUUUGAUAUUUUGUAAUCGAGUACCUUUCUAAAGGUCUAAUGGCUCCCAUCAGGUGUUGUGUGCAGACGGUGGAAAAAUUCAACGAGUAAACAUAUAUUUAAUCCAAAUUAAAUACUCAUAUUUAUAUGUAAAAUGUCACAUUAUUGUAUAAAUAAAUAAUUAAGAAACAAAA